UAUAAUUAUUCAUUCGUUGAAAUAUUCAGGAAUUAAUUAAAUAAUUCGCCACUAUUAAUUAUCGGCCCAAGGAUUUAUUUAAAAGCCCAAGACUUAAUAUUUUCAAAUUAAAAUUUUAAAGCCCCAAACCCAAAAAUAUAAGGGAGCCCAACUAACAAAACAUCCAAUUUAUUAAUGUUGUCCAAUUAGCUUUUAAAAACAAAGGGCAGGCCCAAGAAAUCCUUUUUUUUUUACACGUAUACUCCCUCCCUAAUGGCCCCACAUACACCAACAACAAUUUAUCCACCUUACUGCAAAAGUAACAAAACAUAUCAACUCUCCUUCUCUAAACAAAACGUCGGCUUCCCUCCCUCUCUCUCUACUGUAUUCUUCUCCAACUUGCAGCUACUGACGAAACGAAGUUCCAACUUCACCUCCCUCUCUUUCGAUUUUUCUCACAAGAAAACGAAAACUCCCAAUUAAAGAGAAAGCCCCAAAACAGAAACCGUUGAAUCUCCGAUUCACUCCACGCCGCCAGCCGCCGCUGCUGUCGCGUACCCACCGUCGCCGUCGCUGAUUCGUCGUUGCCGUUGUCCAACCUUCGCCGCAUCAGUAGCUCCGACGCCGCUGCACAAAGCCGCCGGCUACUGCUCGACGGAGUUAACGGCGCUGCUGUAGCUUCGCCAGCCGCUGCGGUCCGCCGGGUCAGGCUGCUGCCGCCGCCGGGAGCCGCUGCUCCGUCGGUGGUCGUGCAGCCCCGAUUCCGCCCCGAUUUCACCCCGCUGAAUCACGGAGGGUGAAUAUCUCACCACGGAGCAGGAAAAUCUCUAUAGAAUCUUUAUUUAAUAUUUUGGCUUCUUAAAAAAAAAAUAUUCCAUAGGCUCUCAAAAUAAAACGGAACGAUAGUUGGCUAAAAAAAGAAAUUCGACAGUAAUCCAAAAGCAACUUAAAGGAAUAGGGAAAAGUCGGGCGUUACAAUCUACCCAUCUUAACAAAAAUUUCGUCCCGAAAUUUGCUUGCGUCCUUCGAAUAAAGAAUUUCUCCAUCAUCUUGUCUUCCAAGCAGCUUCCUCAUGUCGUUUAAUUAACAUUGUAGUUAAAAGUCGUAUAAACGUAAUACCUCUGGCAUGUCGUAAACGUCAUUCUAGCAAAACAUUGUAAUAAUCCGCGUGCUUCUCUGCCUGCUACGAAGGUUAUCUCCAUCGUAUUGCCACUUUUAAUAAAUUACGCGAGAUUAGACUAUAUUAAAUUAAAUCGUGCACUUCGCAUCAUCCCUCCUUGUCUUGCACCCUCUUUUGCGUUUGAACUUCAUUACGUCUUCGCUAUCUUCCACUUCUUGAAAUCUUCCUCGUAUUCUUUUUGUUCUUAUCAUUCAGGGAAAACGUAGGAAAUAGUAAAAUAGUUCACACAUCAAGCUUGCUCCAACGUUUCGCGCUGGAAAAAGUUCCAUUGUCCAUUGACUCCAUUCGCACUCUCGAUCUCCUUGUCUCGUCGUGCCUUGACAAAUUAGGGGUUCACCCCAAACUUUCAGAUUCUCGUUCGUUUUCGUCACUCGGGAAAGUGAUAGAUUAUCUCAACUUAAAACUACGGUUCGCGUGUAUUCAAUCUAGCCUACAACAUAAGCACUCUAUGUUCGCCACAUACUUCAUCAUCUCUCAUCUCAACAUCUACCACAAUUAACGUCAUCCAUACCACAAGAUAAACACACAACAUUUUCACAUCUCAUAGCUAAACACUUUCGCACUUCACAUUUGCAUUCAUAAAAUUUUGACACAAAAGCUUUCUUCAACCUCUUUCACACAUUCCUCAAAAAUUUCCACAUCUCACUUUUAAAGUAAAAGUUUUGACUCAAAACUAAACGUACUUUCACAUCAACUUUCAUGCUUCGUAUAAGACAUUCCAUAGAAUAACGCAUCAUACCUUGCACCUCAUAACGUAAAUAUCAUCGCACUUCCAUAGCUCAAGUUUCCAAACGAAAAAGUUAAAAACUAUUUUUCUCGAAACUCAAAAUUUUUUUUGAACAAUUCAUAAACACAACAUUUUCUAUUGAUCAAAUCUUUUCAUAACAGAUAAGUCACCCCAUUGCAUAACAUAUCGCGAAACACACACACACACAUAUAUUUUCAUAUAACCAUAGCUCAUCUAUCCCAUUGUAAAACAUACUUUGUUUUCAUAACCAUAGCUCCUAUAUCCCAUUGUAAAACAUACUUUGUUUUAAUAACCAUAGCUCUUCUAUCCCAUUGUAAAACAUACUUUGUUUUAAUAAACAUAGCUCAUAUAUCCAUUGUAAAACAUACUUUGUUUUUCCUAACCAUAGCUUCUCUUCUCCUUUCCUGAAAACUUUCUCAUAAAAUUUUUUUCAUAAAAUUAAAUUACCCCUUUCUUGAUUGA